GUCGAGGGGCAGCGUGGAGCAGCAAUGCUCUGACGGCGACCGGCGGAAGGGUGCGUAACACGUGAGCGACUUGCCCGUCACAGGGGGAUAACCGGCGGAAACGGCGACUAAUACCCCAUAUGCUGCGAUGCUGCAUGGCAUUGCAAUGAAAGAUUCAUCGGUGGCGGAUAGGCUCGCGGGACAUUAGCUAGACGGCGGGGCAACGGCCCACCGUGGCGACGAUGUCUAGGGGUUCUGGGAGGAAGACCCCCCACACUGGGACUGAGACACGGCCCAGACUCCUACGGGAGGCAGCAGUGAGGAAUAUUGGUCAAUGGGCGGAAGCCUGAACCAGCCAUGCCGCGUGAAGGACUAAGGCCCUACGGGUCGUAAACUUCUUUAG
rnacentral:rRNA from 1 species